ACGGGAAUAGCUCAGUUGGUAGAGCAUCGGUCUCCAAAACCGAGUGUCGGGAGUUCGAGUCUCUCUUCCCGUGCCG
rnacentral:tRNA from 1 species